rnacentral:rRNA from 1 species
AUGAACGCUGGCGGCGUGCCUAAUACAUGCCAGUCGAGCGAACAGAUAAGGAGCUUGCUCCUUUGACGUUAGCGGCGGACGGGUGAGUAACACGUGGGUAACCUACCUAUAAGACUGGGAUAACUUCGGGAAACCGGAGCUAAUACCGGAUAACAUUUGGAACCGCAUGGUUCUAAAGUGAAAGAUGGUUUUGCUAUCACUUAUAGAUGGACCCGCGCCGUAUUAGCUAGUUGGUAAGGUAACGGCUUACCAAGGCGACGAUACGUAGCCGACCUGAGAGGGUGAUCGGCCACACUGGAACUGAGACACGGUCCAGACUCCUACGGGAGGCAGCAGUAGGGAAUCUUCCGCAAUGGGCGAAAGCCUGACGGAGCAACGCCGCGUGAGUGAUGAAGGGUUUCGGCUCGUAAAACUCUGUUAUUAGGGAAGAACAAAUGUGUAAGUAACUGUGCACGUCUUGACGGUACCUAAUCAGAAAGCCACGGCUAACUACGUG